rnacentral:rRNA from 1 species
GACGAACGCUGGCGGCGUGCUUAACGCAUGCAAGUCGAACGGAAAGGCCCUGCUUUUGUGGGGUGCUCGAGUGGCGAACGGGUGAGUAACACGUGAGUAACCUGCCCUUGACUUUGGGAUAACUUCAGGAAACUGGGGCUAAUACCGGAUAGGAUCUCCUGCUGCAUGGUGGGGGUUGGAAAGUUUCGGCGGUUGGGGAUGGACUCGCGGCUUAUCAGCUUGUUGGUGGGGUAGUGGCUUACCAAGGCUUUGACGGGUAGCCGGCCUGAGAGGGUGACCGGCGACAUUGGGACUGAGAUACGGCGCAGACUCCUACGGGAGGCAGCGGUGGGGAAUAUUGCACAAUGGGCGGAAGCCUGAUGCAGAAACGCCGCGUGCGGGAUGACGGCCUUCGGGUUGUAAACCGCUUUCGCCUGUGACGAAGCGUGAGUGACGGUAAUGGGUAAAGAAGCACCGGCUAACUACGUG